UAAAACUAAGUUGCUAUAACUUUUGAUUUAUACACUUUAAUUUAAAUAUGAUCAACUUUGUUUUAAAUAAGAAAAAUGUUUGAUUGAUCAAAGUAUUGUUAAACACCUUUGAAUUAAUGUUUUUCUAUUUUGAAAUAUAAUAGAGUAAACUCAGAAAACUUGGUUGUUCAUUUAAAGACGUUUAAUAUUAAAUUCAUUUACGUUUAUUUUUGAUACGAAAAUAAAUGCUCUUUGAAUCAAAGUUAAAACUCAUUACAUCAAAGUGGCAACUCAUUUGAUUUUUGAUAUACACUACUACUAUAAGAUCUAGACAAUAAUUGUCUUAUACAUAUGCAGUAUGCACGUAUCCUCUUUUGUUACCAACACCAAUACGAUUUUCUGUGAAUAUUCAUGUCGAGACGCGUACGCCAAGAAAUGUGUUUCAUUCAAAGGUGUUUCGAUUUGAAUCAUAUACAUAUGCACUUUAAACCAAAGUAAAAAUGAGACAAAUCAAAGUUGUAAUCCUUUGACUCGUGAAUGAUGCCGGUCGAGUAAUUUAUUUGCCAUUCGCUCUAGUUUCGUGGCUGUGAACAGUUCUAAGAAAAGUUUAAAGUAUUAAGUAAGACAAAUAAAAUAAAAUAAAAUCUAUUUAUAAUGGUGAAAAACAUCAAUGAUAAAAAUCAGAUAGGACGAAAGUGGACAACUAUUGAAUUUAAUUUAUUCAAAUUCUUCCAACGACCAGGACAAUACAAUAAAGCUACAUAUUGAGGGAAUUUGAUUUAGAAAUUCUCAUUCAGAAAUUUAAAGAAACAAAUAUUACAUACGCUGCCUUCAAUUUUUGUCGAAAGAGGAUAUCAAAGAAAUACUACUAGACUGAGAGCUGAAUUUUGAGAAAAAUUAUUCCUUUGGAGAAAGAAGGAGUUUUGAGUUGACGACGAAACCCUUUCAGCAAUUUCAAAAGUGACAAAUUGGCAGUGCCAAAACUGCAACAAUUCUGAAGCGGGCUCAUCAACACAAACAUCAAGCACAAAUUUAUUUUUAAAAUUGAUAUUUUAAAACUUAUGAACUCAUCAUCAAAAGGAAAAGCUGUGAUCGAUUUAUAUAAAAGGGUAUCAGUUUGAAAACGCCCAAAGAGAUGCCCUUAUACAAAUCAUAAUUGAGGAGGUAAAUUGGGCAUAUUAUGUCUUGCCAUGAGCAACCUCAAAUGUAACAUUUGACACAACGGCUAUAUAAAACUUAUAUGUAUGUAUAUCGUAAGCUUAUACACAAUAAAUCAUGUUGAAGAAAAUUCUUGUUUUUUUUUCAAUUUUUUGAUAAAGGUAUUAUUUUUUUGAAUCAAAAGCGGAUCGUAUUUAAAACAAUGAUAGAGCACUUUA